AUGAAAUUCAUCAAUCCGAAAGAGGGCAAGAGCGGAGAGAGGGAACAGGGCCCAGGCGAGAGAAACAAAACAGCAAGGACGAGGCCAGUCUGAAGCCGAAUGAUUCAAACGUCGAGAACCAGGUGUUUCAGGGAAGAGCGAAGCCUGUCUGACAGACUCGGUGGGAGCCGCGCCCUCAGCGCAGGACGUGGGAGAUGGACGUUGAAGGAGAGACCAGGCGCGCGGACCCGGAAGAGAGCGGACAGUCGUGUUGACACAGCUGGCGCAAGAGUGUGGGGACACUGAGGCCAGGGCUCUGCUGGCGCUGAGGGGAGGGGGUCUCCUCACGCAGGACGGCCCACCCACAGGAGGACGCGUUCUAUGUCGAUGGCUUUGCUACCCUGGUCUCAAACACGGGGAGCACGGCGGCCGAGUCACAGGCGGAGACAGACCCACGGCCGGCGCAGAACACCGCAGACUUCUCCCUUCCCGCCCGACAGGACGAGCAGGCGAGAAGACGGACUGACGGAGGGGCUCAAACAACAGUGACCUCGCUGAUACACAGACAAUAACCCCCGCAGCGGGGAGCGGCGGACCACGCCAAAACCACGGAGCCCGGCCACCAAGCGAGCAGAGCUUGCGCAGGAUUUUCCUGUGUCAUCCCUGCGCAGUGGAACAACCCCAUCCGAUACCAGGGGUAUUUUUAAGUCACCGUCAGAGUCAUGUAUCUACUCUUUAAAUGUUAGAUUUGUGCAUCCUUGUUGUCAAGUAAAAUCAGCUGAUAAUUUUCUUUUCUACUGAACGUACCCCGUAUAUGACAAAGGGCCCGCCCCCAGAGUGGCUUUCUCCAGCUUGAUUUGUGGAUGGACACGCGUGUGCCAAGAGAUGAAGUUGGCAAGAGGGAAAGUCACCUCCCAUGUUGACUCAUUUAUUCACUCGUCAAAUGGGUUCUGAGGAUUCUGGAUAAACCCUGAACUGUGCCACCCAGAAGUCACCACGCUGAGGACGACAAGACCUGCAGGUGCACUACUUGGCUGGCAGACAACACCUCUGGAGUGAGGAGUUACUGAAACAAGGCCUGAAGUGUGUGAGGUCGGCUUUGGAACUGGGCAGCGAGCCCGAAGGAGCUCCAGGUGCUGCUAGCGAAGCCUUGAAGGAGGACUCAAGGAGAAGACAGCUGCCUUUGAGCUAGGAGGUAGACUCUGCUCCCCAGAUGCCAAAUCUGCUGGCACCUCAGUCUUGGACUUCCCAGCCUCCAGAAUUAGAUUUGCAAUGCCCUCAGGCUGGAUCACAGGCUUCCUUUACUCCACAGCCUGCUGUGGCCAUCACCGCCCCGUCUAUUGACAGUCUUGACCACCCAGAGGGACGAGAGGAUUGGAGGCCAUCACGACUGAAGGCUCAGUGGCGGGGGCGACAGGAUAUUCUUAGAUCCAAUUGUCGUAAAGUGGACGGCCCGCGUCACUCCCGCUCUCACGAGUGUCUGCAAGAGCGCCUUGGACACGCCUGGCGGGGACAUGACCACUAGCUGGGGCCCACAUCCCCACUGCCUGGCCUUGAGCUCGUGUGGCCCAGAGCCUGGUUCUCCCACACGAAGCGGGCAGGAGAGACGCCCGUGCACGGGGCUGGACCCUCUCAGCUGACAGAGAAGGAAGUAGAAGAAGCGUGUGGACGCGCUGACCCUUCCCAGGGGUCGGCACGAAGGUCCAGAACAGGACUGCUGGCUCCACGCGCCGUCACGCCCAUCGUGCUUUUCCUCUCCUCUUUCCACGUAACGCUCCCUUCCUGGCGCAGAAGCUGACAGUGUGGGGGCUUCUCACUCACUCGGGGACUCGGCUCCCAACCGCCUCAGAAGCAGCUUGCUUGCCACCUGUUGAAGAUGAAGCCGCCGAGGCCCAGAGAGUUUGCACAGAUGCUGGGAGAGCUCCACGCUGAAUUCACGACGGGGCAGAGCAGCGGCUUCGAGGAAGGAGAGCCCAGCGGGGCAGGAGGACGAGCUCGCCCUGCCCGGGUGCCACCCACACAGAGAGCCCCCAGCCUCUCUGAGAGGAGGCGCCUGUCCCGUUUGGCUCGGGCAGCAGUAACAAACGGCCACAGGCUGACGGCUUGAACAACAGACGUUCGUUCUCUCACAGUCUGGGGGCUGGACAUCCGAGAUCCGGCUGUCUCAGGGCUGGUUCCUCUGAGGGCUCGCUCCUCGGUGUGUAGACACCGUCUUCUCCCUGUGUCCUCGCAUGGUCGAACCUGUGCGUGUGUCUGCGUCCCCAUCCCCUCUUCUCAUAGGGACCCCAGUGAACGGGAUUAGGCCACCCUGGUGACCUCAGUUUACCUGAAUCACCUCCAAACAUAGACACAUUCUGGGGUCCUGAGAGUUAGGAAUGUGAAUUUGGGGGCACAUUUCAGCCCAUAACAACCCCAAACCCCAUUUCCUGAGGCUGAGGACGGGGUCAGGGGCCGCCUCUCCAACUCCAGCCCACUGCCCUGCUGGCCUCACUCCCCCACGGGUGGGCGGAGAGGCCGUGGGCAUGUCUGGAAGUUUCUGGAGUGUAGAUCACCAGCUCCCAGGGCCAUAGCAGGCUCGCAGGAGGGUGCUAGAAAUUUCCCAGCAGCUCAACCAGCCGCGCCCAAGGUUCCUCCCAGCACCGCAGCCAGGAGGCCAGGAACAAGGGCAGGAGCCCAGAGCCCCGUGCAGACACCUCUGCUGUGGACCAGACAGUCCCAGGUCACAUCUUCACGGUCUGGGUGGGGGUGGGGACUGUGCCCGGGUCCCAGGACUUCAAAGGUCCAGCCCACGUGUGCCACUCCCACCGCCUGGGCCCACCGCCCCUCCCCACCACACGGCUGCGUCCCCUCCACACGGGCGCCCCUGCCCUUCACACGCCCUGUGUCCC
rnacentral:lncRNA from 1 species